rnacentral:rRNA from 1 species
UACGAAGGGGGCUAGCGUUGCUCGGAAUCACUGGGCGUAAAGGGUGCGUAGGCGGGACUUUAAGUCAGGGGUGAAAUCCUGGAGCUCAACUCCAGAACUGCCUUUGAUACUGAAGAUCUUGAGUUCGGGAGAGGUGAGUGGAACUGCGAGUGUAGAGGUGAAAUUCGUAGAUAUUCGCAAGAACACCAGUGGCGAAGGCGGCUCACUGGCCCGAUACUGACGCUGAGGCACGAAAGCGUGGGGAGCAAACAGG